CACAUACCUUUCUUACUUUGAGUGCAAACUUCUCAAUGACAGAUGAAUCAAAAGGCACCAAGCAAUUGAACACAAAGUCUUCGGAUAAAGCCAACUUCUAAUGUCAGAGCAGACCCACAAAUCAGCACCUACUAGAAAUCAAUGGUCACUCAUCAGUCAGACAAACCAAACAAAAUAUUUGUUGGUUUCACAACCAGAUAAGCUAGGAUCAAUCAAAUGCAGCAUGUGAGUAUAGGACAUAGGCCAUUCUUCCUGUAUACCACUCCAUUUUUCAACUAUAAAACAGAACACAAUGAAAUGACUCUGUUACUCUACAUGGUAAGCUAUUAUUAUUCCCAGGUUUCACGUAACAAUUUGGCAAACAAUAUAUGUAACUCUUCUGCAUGCACUUCGAGAGAGCAAAGCAAGAUCGACGGCCAUUGAGCAAAACAUGAUCGGUCGCAGUUUAGCAAUUCACGUGGUGAACCACAAAUUGGCGCAUGUUGUUUCAGUUUGUAGUCAACAUACAUAUGGUACAUGUUAAAGGGUUCGGAUUGAUUAGCUAGCAACAUACAUAGGGUAAACAAAGGGGUCAAGGAAAACUAAGAAUUGCUUAUAAGAAUGGGGGCACUACAUAAUUCAUCAUAUCCUAUACUGAAUUUCUAGUACAUGAUGAUAAGAUAAUACUCCCAAGUCAAGCACCUCCUUGACUGAACCGACCCAUAAACAAAUUUGCCUUCUUCACAAUAUACUAGAACAUUGUGCAUAUAGAUUAGCAUGACAGGGAGGAAAAGGUGGUUGUGCUCACUUGUGAGUUCAAGACAGUAAGAUGCACUGCAAAACGUUCGAUGUUCUUCAGUACACUUGCUAACUUGGGUACAAAUCUCAGACAGGAGAGGAGGUCCUUCGAUCUGUACAGGCAGUCGUCAGUUUGUGUAGCAGAAAAAGAAAUCACCAUGGCGAAGAAAAAUGGUGAGUGGAAGAGGAGGAGGAGGGGAUAACCUUGGUGAGAAAGAGGAGGAUGACCUCUGGCCGUCGUCUUCGCUGGAGGUGAGUGA
rnacentral:lncRNA from 1 species